CAAUCCAAUUCCCAUCUGACUGAUAAUUGUCAAUCCUCUUCAGAGGACGAGUAUCAUUCCAUCGAUAUAAGGAAAGAAGAAUCAUUGUACAGCGAAACUGUACAGCCUUCAGAAAAUGCAGAAAAUUUCGGUACUUGGAUAAAUUCGUGAACGUGCCAUGCAGAUCUGAAAUUAAGGACCGUACAGAUAUUAUCGAUUCAUCACUCGCAAAUUAAUUUCGCUCGAUUUGCAAAUGCAAAGUAUAAAACAAGGG